UUGUCAAAAAUUCAUCGCUGCCGUCUACGGAGGCGAUAAGCCGAAAAUUAGUUAGAAAUCAAAAGCGACCAGCGAGGGCGGAAAAAGACGAAGAGAAAUGGAUGCUACUGCUGCUAGAAACAGAGGAAUGCUACUUUACAAAAUAUACAGAGCGUUCACCUAUGCUGUAACACCACUAGUGCGCCUUCACAUGCAAUGGCGCCGGCUCCUUGGCCUUGAACAUCCUAACCGUUGGCCGGAGCGUUUUGGAUGGCCCUCCGUCCCUAGGCCUUCCGGUCGUCUUCUGUGGUUCCACGCCGUCUCUUUAGGUGAAGGAAUGGCGGCCAUUCCUGUGAUUAAACGGUGCGUUGAAUGCAGGCCUGACUUAAGUAUACUGAUGACAACUACGACUUUGUCUGCAUUUGAAGUUAUAAAGAAUCAGCUUCCAAAUGGUGUCUUAUAUCAGUUUUCCCCUCUUGAUACACCUGCUGCUGUGGACAAUUUCCUUGACUACUGGAAGCCAAAUGCAAUUGUGAUACUGGAGAGCGAACUAUGGCCAAAUCUUAUAAUGGGUUCAUCAAGAAAGGGUAUUUUGCUGGCAUUGUUAAAUGCUCGAGUAUCUAUGAAAUCCUUCAGAUUAUGGUCACAACCAGUCCUCCUUCCACUGAUUUCACUGAUGCUUUCUAAAUUUUCCUUGAUUAUUCCUCUGAGUACGUUGCAGGCAAUUCACUUCCAGAUUCUGCAGGCCCCACCUGCUAUCAUUAAUUUUUCUGGAGAUCUGAAAUAUGCUGUAGAAUAUGAUGCUUCUAAUGGAGAGACAGGAAGCAUAGAUGAUCUGAAGGGAGAGCUUACUCACAGGCAGGUUUGGAUGGCUGCUUCAAUACAUAGAGGUGAAGAACAAGUUGUUCUGGAAGCUCAUGAAGCACUCAUACAAAAAUACCCGGAUCUGGUCACUAUAAUUGUACCUCGAUAUGGUCAACAUGGGCAGGACAUUGCUCAAGAAUUGCAGAAGGAAGGGAAUAUUGUAGCUUUGAGGUCUCAGCGUCAAAGGAUUGUGCCAGGAACACAGUUUUAUGUGGUGGACACAAUAGGUGAACUGAGACAUCUGUAUGGGCUAUCCCCGAUUGCUGUAAUUGGAGGUUCCUUCUUGCCUGGUUUAGCUGGUCAUAACAUAUCAGAAGCUGCAGCAGCUGGCUGUGCAGUUCUUACCGGUUAUCACGUCGGUCAUUUCUUGCACAUGGUAAAGGAAAUGCAGGCAUUAAAUCCUUUAUCAGUUAUGCAGGUAUCUGGGACCUUAGAACUUCAAGGAGCUAUUAUGAAACUAUUUGGUGAUCCCAAAGUUCUAGAAGCAAGGCGCAUGGCUGCAAAGCAAGCAUUUUGUGCUUUGUCCACUGAUAUCAUUUCCAAUGUCUGGAACCACCUAAACUUUUAUAUUCUUGAGACUGUCGCGAGAAAGUAGAUGAAGAGUGGCACAGAGUAAAUUGAAUUCUGACACUAGAUUUGGAACUCGAAGAACACAUCUUGUUAUUUGAAAGAGAUUGCAGAAGAGCUAAAGAUGAUACAUCCAACUCUCGCGGGAAAAACGACUGCCUCUAUACUGCCUGAUGCUAAGUUGUUAUGCCCUUUCAAAGAGAAGGAUAAUUGCAAUUCCUGAUGCCACUUCUACCAGAACUACUCCAGCUGUUGCUCUAGCAUGUAAAUCACUGCAAACUCUUGAAAAAGUGGUGAUGAAUCCUCCUCAGAGCAAGAGAAGUGGCAUACAUCUGCAUCACCUCUGAUCAAAUGGAUUAUGUCUUGAAAGAGAAGCUCAUGACACGGUAUAGCCAGAAGACCAUUUCUGUUGUGGCUGUAAUGACAAAUCUGAGAAUUGGAUUGUUCAAAUAAUCUGCUCUAAUGACAAAUCUUUUGCCGGCUUCACCUACUAUGCCUGCUAUAUGACCACGAGGGACAUCCUAUGGCAGUUUCUUCUCAAAUCCUCCAGCUAACUUUCACCGCAUUCAGCUUCACAAUGUUGCAGAUUUUAAGGUGCUAUCAUGAAGUGAUGCUCCAGAGGAUAUUCUCAAGGAGUUGGCUGUUAAUGGCUUAAGAGAAAGAUGAGGGUGUACUUGUGGACCUGAGAUCUUCUCCAGUUAUGUCCUCCACAAUUAAUGAUUUUAGUUGUAAGAGUCACCCAUGUGAAAUAGUAAGUUCCAACCUUUUCAGAUAACGAACAUGAAUUUCCUGAUUGCUAUCAAGGUUUGUGAAACAUAAGAGUCUUCUGCCCAAUUGUUUACCUUUCCCAUGUCUUGGUUUCUUCUUUGAAGUAGUAAAGCUCUGUCCUUGAAUAUAAUGAACAAAUUAACUUAAUUGCAGCCUAAGUUCCUCGGCC